rnacentral:misc_RNA from 1 species
CCGUCUGCGCGAAACGACUGAAAUAAAAUUUUUUUUUUUUAUGACUAACUCGUUGAAAAUCUUUCUCCGAAACGGCGAAUAUUUUUACGAAACUAUCGUUACGUUUCACGCGAAUCAGUGACGUUGAGAGAAAGAGAGAGAGAGAGAGAGAGAGAAGAAAAAAGACUAAAAACGGAAAACGAAAAAUUUUCAAUAAAAAAACAACGACAUUUUUUUCCCACCGAAGAAGAAAGAAAGGACCUUCUUUAUUUGAACAAAAUAAAACACGCUGGCUAAAAUUUUUUGCACCGAAUUCUCACCAUUCUGGUGGCACGAUUUCUGCAGAUUGGAGCCGUCAAAUAUUUUCUCGGUAUCGUUGCUGAGGCCUAUCUGGUCAAUUGGCAUAAGAUACUCAUCGCACGACUCCCUGCAAUUUCCACUUCG